AGGCUCCCCAGGCCUCAGCACAGAAGCCCCCAGGACCCCAUGCAAAAUCCCACUUCCCACUCUGUAGCAGGAAGAAGCUUCUUUCUUCAAAGCUAUUAGCAAGUUUACUCACCAGCACAACCUAUGAUGUCUCUCCUAAGGGUUAAAAUGAACAACCUUUCAUACAGAAUAUGCAACCUAUUCCCUAAACUAUGAGGGAUUAAUCCACUGAGCAAAAGAAAUGUUUUACAAUCCCAUUUAUUUUAACUAUAUUUCUUCAGGGAUAUUUAACUUUACAUAUGAAAGCUAUACUUUAUACAUGGUAUACAUGCAGGCGCAUUAUUUAUUUACAAAUCCCAGGCACAGAAAUCAUGAGUCCGAAAUUUUCCUUACAAUGAGUUUCAUAAUUAGCCCUUCCACAGUCAAGGCACACACAGAGAUCAGGGAUUAUUCAUUAGAGGAAGGAAUUAGCAGGAUUUUAGGCUUCAAUGGCCUGUACAGACUAUUAGCUUGCAUUUGGCUAUUAGGCGGGUAAGCAGAGUGGUCUCUAAAGCGUCAGCAACAGAUAACAAUAAAUUCUCAAAAUGAGACUUAACACCUGCUUUCCUAAUCUUGAAAGGCAGGGGAAAACAAGACAGUUGGGUGGUGACACAGCAUCCUUCCAGCCGCACAGACUGCCAGUGUCAGGCCGGCAGCACCCCGACAACUUCCAGCCAUGGAAGGCAGAGGUCCCGGGAUGAGUGAAUAAACCAGGCAGCUGAGACCAUGGCAACACCAGGCCCCAGCAUCAAAAAACGCCCUCCAGAUCUGCAUGACAGCGUGCAGGCUCCGACUGCUUCCCUCCGAUAGAGGAGGUUUUGAAAAUGAAACAAAAGGAUGGUACAUGGAGCUGGCUUAUUUGAGGACUAUCAGCUGGUCUACUUCCAUCCCUUCCAAGGUCUGGAUCAGAGAUGAGAGGAACACGGGGAUUGUGAAUGGCUGAUGGAUACACAAGCGCAGACCUAAGGCUUCAUCCAGAACACUAUUAAUACAGAUGAACAUUGAGUUUUCCUUUCCUCUCUUCUGGGUUUUUACUCCAAAACUGUGAAGAAAGUGGCUGUUGGGACAAAAGGAUUCCAGGCGAUAGCAAGAAGCUCACUUCCACUUGAGAACUGAUCAGACUAUUUGAACUCAGCUCUUUAAAAGUUACCAUAAAUAUCAUCAAGAAGUAUAAACAGUACACAGAGAGGAAAUUGUAAGAAAUAAAAUGAACAAAGAACAGAAGAAAAGAAAAAGUCACACGGAGUCAGAAAAAUCCAGCCCUAUCCUGAGUAGGUCUAGUGCUGUUUUUCUUCUAGUGGGGGAGGGAAUGAAGAGGGAAGAAAAGUCACAUUCAAUGUCAUUUUGACAGCGACCUCUUAUUCAAAAACUAUUAUUUUUCCAUCUUGAAUAAGAGAGAACCAAGUGCUCUUCAUAAUCACAUAAAUGACCUACCACUCUCUAAGUGCUCUCUCUUAGAUCAACAAAGAGCUAUCGGAAGCAGAAAGUAUUGCACACUACUCUCCUGUCGUCUCAAUCCAAGUCGUCCGCACAGCUCAACCUACCGUAAGAGAAACCUUGAAAGGCCAAAAGCUUUAGGAAAUAGACUUAUCAGACUACCUCUCCUCCUUGAAGCAAUUCUUUUAGAGCUUUGCGGUGUUAAAAUUAUAAAGACACAGAGAAAAAUAAAAGUUACAAGCAAGAGAGGAGAAGCAUGAUGGGAGUUAACUUUUAUUUUUCUACGAGAAGCAACUCAAUAGCUUUAAAAUGGCGUUUUAAAAGGGUGGGAGGAAAGAUUUCAGUUGUCCUUAGAGGCAGAGCAUUCCCUAAUGCUGCAUUUUCAGUCAACUUGUGCAAUUAACUAACUUAAAGGUUCUUAUUGCAAGGCAUGCCACACCAAAAUGUAAACUGACCGACUCACACUUCUUCCUCUGGGGGAAAUAGAAGAGCCUGUCCCCAUAAGGUCAAUGGCAAGGCUAAGGAUCUUUAUUCCAAAAGAAAAGCUAUUCCAGGGGUCGGAGGUGUUUGUGUUAGUUGUGUUUUGUUUUGUUUUCAGGGAUGAAGGGAUAAAUCCCAUUCAUUUAUUUGUCUGCAGUUUUUUC